rnacentral:tRNA from 1 species
GCCUGGGUGGCGGAACUGGUAGACGCGCUGGAUUCAAAAUCCAGUGCCUUCGGGCGUGAGGGUUCGAUUCCCUCCCCAGGUA